GAUCCGCCUAGGCUGUCCCGA
rnacentral:snRNA from 1 species